rnacentral:sRNA from 1 species
AUAUCUCUCUGUACGGGAAGGAUGAGAAGCUUCGACUAAGGUUCGAUUCGAGCGUCAGCGAGAAAGCGUUGCCGCAGGCAACGACCCGAAGGGCGAAGCGCGCAGCGCUGAGUCAUCCUUCCCCCACCACC